AACGCACAUUGCGCCCAUCAGUAUUCUGGUGGGCAUGCCUGUUCGAGCGUCAUUUCAACCCCUAAGCACAGCUUACUGUUGGGACUCUACGGCCUCCGUAGUUCCCCAAAGCCAUUGGCGGAGUGGCAGUAGUCCUCUGAGCGUAGUAAUUCUUUAUCUCGCUUUUGUUAGGUGCUGCCCCCCCGGCCGUUAAACCCCCCAAUUUUUUCUGGUUGACCUCGGAUCAGGUAGGAAUACCCGCUGAACUUAA
rnacentral:misc_RNA from 2 species